rnacentral:rRNA from 1 species
CCUACGGGAGGCAGCAGUGGGGAAUAUUGGACAAUGGGGGGAACCCUGAUCCAGCGACGCCGCGUGAGUGAAGAAGUAUUUCGGUAUGUAAAGCUCUAUCGGCAGGGAAGAAAGAAAUGACGGUACCUGACUAAGAAGCCCCGGCUAACUACGUGCCAGCAGCCGCGGUACUACGUAGGGGGCACGCGUUAUCCGGAUUUACUGGGUGUAAGGGGAGCGUAGACGGCGAUGCAAGUCUGAAGUGAAAGGCGGGGGCCCAACCCCCGGACUGCUUUGGAAACUGUAUGGCUGGAGUGCAGGAGAGGUAAGUGGAAUUCCUAGUGUAGCGGUGAAAUGCGUAGAUAUUAGGAGGAACACCAGUGGCGAAGGCGGCUUACUGGACUGUAACUGACGUUGAGGCUCGAAAGCGUGGGGAGCAAACAGGAUUAGAUACCCCGGUAGUC